UCCCUGGUGGUCUAGUGGGUAAGGCUCUGUGCUUAUAAUGCAGAUGGCCCAGGUUUGAUCCCUGGUCAGGGAA